CCCAACAAGUUUAAUUUAUUAAAAUAAAUUUUAUACGUUUAGGUUGCGGGGAUCUAGAAAAUCUUACCUUUGGAAGCGAAUCUCGGAAUUACAUAAAUUGAUGGUAGAUAUUCAGACUGCUCAUGCUAAGUUGAGCAGUCAAGACGGAAACAGCCGAGAACACUGAUCAAGGUCCCAAAUGAUUGUUAAGUGAAAUUAAGGACGUAGCAAUAUCGUAUACAGCUGUGAAGUGAGCCUGGCAGUCGCUACUUAUAAUGAUCGUACGUAACAACGCAUCAGCAGUAUUUUAUAAAAUUAUAAAAAUGAUAGUAGCGCCGAAAAUUUAACGGGUCUAAAACAAUCAACCGAUAUCGUGUUGGUUUUAUUAAAAAUAUUUUUAAUAGAAUCUAGGUAGUAGAACAUUCAGUUUAACUGUUAAUUAAAUAGUGUUUCAUU
rnacentral:rRNA from 1 species